UACGGAGGGUGCAAGCGUUAUCCGGAUUCACUGGGUUUAAAGGGUGCGUAGGAGGGCAGGUAAGUCAGUGGUGAAAUCUUCGAGCUUAACUCGGAAACUGCCGUUGAUACUAUCUGUCUUGAAUACCGUGGAGAUGAGCGGAAUAUGUCAUGUAGCGGUGAAAAUGCUUAGAUAUGACAUAGAACACCAAUUGCGAAGGCAGCUCGUUACACGAAUAUUGACUCUGAGGCACGAAAGCGUGGGAUCAAACAGG
rnacentral:rRNA from 1 species